rnacentral:tRNA from 1 species
GUCUGAAUAGCUCAGGGGUAGAGCAUUAGCCCGGAAAGACUCGGGUUCGAUUCCCGAUUCAGUGA